rnacentral:tRNA from 1 species
GCCGCCUUAGCUCAGUCGGUAGAGCGAGUCACUCUGUAAUGACUAGGUCGUCAGUUCGAUUCUGACAGGCGGCUCCA